AUACGUAGGUGGCGAGCGUUGUCCGGAAUUACUGGGUGUAAAGGGCGUGUAGGCGGGGAUGCAAGUCAGAUGUGAAAUACCGAGGCUUAACCUCGGGGCUGCAUCUGAAACUGUGUUUCUUGAGUGUCGGAGAGGAAAGCGGAAUUCCCAGUGUAGCGGUGAAAUGCGUAGAGAUUGGGAGGAACACCAGUGGCGAAGGCGGCUUUCUGGACGACAACUGACGCUGAGGCGCGAAAGCGUGGGGAGCAAACAGGAUUAGAUACCCUGGUAGUCCACGCCGUAAACGAUGGAUACUAGGUGUAGGAGGUAUCGACCCCUUCUGUGCCGGAGUUAACACAAUAAGUAUCCCACCUGGGGAGUACGGCCGCAAGGUUGAA
rnacentral:rRNA from 1 species